AGCGGGAGGGGCGGGAGGCCCAGGCGGUUCCUGGUUCCCGGGCAGCCUCUGUAGCCCCUGGGGCUCAGUCGGGGCCUAGCCGCCUCGCCCCCUCUCCGCAGCCUGGAGCAAACUUGGGAUUUUCAGCCAGCGUGGAGGACACGGCUGAUUCACCCAGGGGCUUUUGUGGGGACAUUCCUGCCGUCGGAGGCCCCUUUUCCGAAUGGCCCGUAGGCGGGGGUUCUUCCAGUGGGGCCUCCGGGGCUCUGACCAGAGAAUAUGAUUCGGGCCUCAGGGUGUGUGUGGGGGGGAGGAGUUUCCCCCUCCACGGUCUCUAGCGAUUCCGUCUUAGCUUCCCGGAUUCUCCCGCUGCACCUGCUCCCGGUGGCCGGUCAAACGGGAGCAUCCCGCCCUCCCUGGCGACUCCAAUCCCAAAGCCAGUGUAACGCGCAUGUGUCCGUUGCAGGAAUAUGCGUUUCAGCCCUAAUGUCUUGUGUGCCGGGUGAGUGGUGGCAUCAUGGCACGUGCAAGUGAACGUUCAUCCACACAGACACUCAGGGAUCUGAACCCGGCCACUCACCGUGGUGGCGGCUCUGGUUCCGACUUCUUUCCGAGCCCUUCCCCGGACCGGUCGUUGCUCCUCUCCAGCCAAAGGGCUCCAGCCGGGAAAGCCCCUUUCGGCCCCCCGAGGGGGGGAAUUCCCGUGACGAUCCCGUGCGUCACUCCCCAUGCCCUUUUUUAUUGGUUGAAAGUUUAACUCCAGGACUCUUGUAGCCAACCCGGAGCAACGCAGGCGCGCCCCUUUCGGGGAAGGCUCGCCCAGGACUGGCCGCGGGGUGUCACCCAGCUCCAGUUCUGCUAGGGACCAGCGAGGCGGGACGACGGACCCAGCGCAGGGCGCGGCUCAGAUCUCUGCACUCUUCCAGGCUUGCCCGGGACCGUUACGGAGUCCAGUGGGCCACUUGGCUCUUGCUGUGCCCAGAGGUUGGCUAUCUCUGAGACACAGGAAACCGGGUCAGUCCCAACACUCCAGUAACCCUCCCAGAGAGGGACCUCCUAGCUGGGAAGGGGAAGAGGAAGGAGUCAGAUCUUGCGGUCAGCUCCAGAUCGCCAUCUAGCGGCCUUUCUGGAGCCGCAAGGAAACUCUGGGGUCAACUGUCUUAGUUUCCGGGCUUCAGGAAGAGACAACUGAUGUUUAUUCUGUAAGUGGCGGGUUCACAAGGGCCAAGGCUUUUAGGAUGACUCGUUGGAGAAUCAAUGUGCUGGGGGAAGAAAAGAAGAAGGAAGAGAAGAAAGAUGUUUGCCUGGGAGUCUUAGGCCUCGUUCAUCCACCACAGAUGUCCCAACUAUUUGACUUGAAAGGCAUCCAACUGGGCGUGGCGAAAUUCACCUGCAGUCCCAGCUUUCUUGAAACCAAGACAGAUCCUAAGUUUCACACCACCCUGUCUCAACACACAUGCACGCAAAUCUGUCCAAAGUGCCUUUCAAACUUCCUCUUCUGUGGAAAAUUGCCAGCGGUGUGCUUUGCAUGGGUGAGGGCCAGCUGUUACCAUCAUAAAGUGGGUGGGAGGCUCUGGAGACCUCUCAGCGCCGAAGCACUCCUGCUCUUCCUGCAUCCAGGAAGAUUCUUCCAGGAUCCACGUGGGACGGCUCACAAGUGUCCGAAACGAUCACACCAGGGUCCCCUGGCUCUCUCCUCGCCUUCUGGGAGACCGAAUUCAGGUGCACACCCUUCAAUUCUUGACUACUCAUCCCCCAAACCCCAAACCCACGUGGUGACAAAUAAGAAAUAAAAUCAUUUUAGAAAGUCUCCCUGAAAA
rnacentral:lncRNA from 1 species